GUAAAAAUUCCUUCACAAAUGUGUUGAUGGCUGGACAUUGCAUCAUCCUAGAAAACUUGGAGGCCAGAGAGGACAAAAAUAAAAAGUUAUAAGACUUUUAAAUAUGUGGAUUUUAGGGUUAUCUUUGGCGCCCCCUAGAACGUAAACCGUGGGGUGCAGCGUCAUGAUUUGAAUAACUUUUAAUGGCCAUGGGGUGUAGAUUGGCCUGAGCAAAUGUGGUGCCGGUGGAACGAAAGCCUUCGGAGGAGUUAGCGAAAUUCCAAUGUGUGCGGAUCGGCAAAAAAUGCGCAAUAACCCUUUAACCGUACAUUUGACAGAUACGCCAGCACUGACUUUUUUGUAGAUCUUAUUGAGAUACAUGUGUGUGUCAAUUUUUGUGUAAUUUUGACAAAGCGUACAGGCGUGACAGUCAAUAGUGUGAAUUUUCACCUUAUGGGACAAGAAAAAAUGGACUUUUUUCUCCUGCCAUGGGGGGGCGCUCUUUUGGGGAGUAAAAAUUCCUUCACAAAUGUGUUGUUGGCUGGACAUUGCAUCAUCCUAGAAAACUUGGAGGCCAGUGAGGGCAAAAAUAAAAAGUUAUAAGACUUUGAAAUAUGUGGAUUUUAGGGUUAUCUUUGGCGCCCCCUAGAACCUAAACCGUGGGGUGCAGCGUCAUGAUUUGAAUAACUUUUAAUGGCCAUGGGGUGUAGAUUGGCCUGAGCAAAUGUGGUGCCGGUGGAACGAAAGCCUUCGGAGGAGUUAGCGAAAUUCCAAUGUGUGCGGAUCGGCAAAAAAUGCGCAAUAAUCCUUUAACCGUACAUUUGACAGAUACGCCCGCACUGACUUUUUUGUAGAUCUUAUUGAGAUACAUGUGUGUGUCAAUUUUUGUGUCAUUUUGACAAAGCGUACAGGCGUCAGGUGAAUUUUUCACCUUAGGGGGCGCUAUGGAGCCAUUUUGCAUUGUAUUGUUUGGGCGACUUCAGAAUAUCAAAUUUUUCACCAGGCCCGGUCGUCCUGCCAAAUUUCAUGAGUUUUCGCCAGUGGGAAGUGGGCCAUUUUCCAGUUCAAAGGGGAGGAAAAAGAAAAAAGAAACAAAGAAAAACCACUUGGGGAAUAAUAGGGCUCUCGCAGCUGCUUAGCAGCUACGCUCGGGCCCUAACUAGGGCCCCGUUGGGGCACUGGCGGGCCCGAGCCGUGUCGCGCCCCCUCCCCCCCCCCAACACGCUGCCUCCCCGUCCCAUUCGCGUCCUCUGGCCAUCGCCCUCUCUGGUAACGCCCAUCACUGCAAAGACCCUUUUCCUUCAUCGGCGUUUGCUGUUCUUCCUGCCAGUGCGUGUUGCUUUCACUUACACUUGCCACAGCCAACCUCGUGAGUGCCUAGCCUAUUGGAUAUCACUGUCAUCUACACAGGACAGUCCUUACCUUUCUAUUAAUACUUUGUUUUUUAAUUUCACAUUAAUUUCCAUAUUGUAUAAAGGACUGGAAAAGACUUGAGCCCCUGCCCCUGUAUAAUCAUGUGCACGUCCCUGUUCUGGCUCUAAGGUGAAUCUUCACUGCUCAUGUUCUCCUCAGAAGCAGUCACCUCACUCCCCUCAGGUUACUGUACACACGCAGCAACUGCAUGCUUCAGGUUUAGAUAGCGCUUCAUGGUUGUCUUUUGGAGAAAUUAGCAGUCAAGUUGUGUUUGAUAUUAGAUUUUUUUCAGGGGCAAAAGGAGCCUCUGCAUUCUUGUCAAAUAUGUAAACAGCAUGUUUUUGCAGGUGCUAAAAAACAGACUCUGAGUGUGUGUGUGUGUGUGUGUGUGUGUGUGUGUGUGUGUGUGUGUGUGUGUGUGUGUGUGUGUGUGUGUGUAUCCUGCAGUACUCUGAGAAGAAUAAGCAUAUUUCUGAGGUGAAUUUUGAAGAUUCAUCUGAGAGUCAGGAGGGCUGAUCAUUCCCUUUUCCUUCAGAUGUCUGUCUAUGUCUGUUUUUGUGUAAUAAUGAAAGAAUCCUAACUCAAAAAGGCUCUGUUGAUGUUUUUUUUUGUUGUUCAUUCAUAUUCAAACCACUAUUUUAUAUCACUGCUAAUACGCCAAGACCAUUUUAUGGUAUUUAGCUUUAUUAUUUCUAUGCAUUUUGCAAGGACAGAAACCAAGGCCUUCACUAAAAUUUCCAUAAACUUUAGGAAAGGACCUCUGGUUGUUUAAGGGGGUCAUUACUGCAAAAACAUAUUCUUCCUAAAUUUUGAAGGUCAAACCUUAGAUCCAUUAGGUUUAAAUAGAAAAAGCAUUAAAAUAUGUUAGGAUUAUAGCAUAUGACAAAUGUGUGCCUCUCAGUGGCCAUAACUACUUUGUCUGCUGGCUCUGCAGUCGAUUGACGCUCCCCAGUGUUCAAGUCACAUGACAUAUUUAACCGGAUGUAGCUGCAAGACAGAGCCUCGUUGACUCUCCGUUUCAACUUAUCUCCAAAGUGAGGACCUUAAACUAUAUACCAGUUUUUAAAUUGUGUUGAUAGGCCAAAUAAAACCAGAGUUAUGAUAAAUUAUGUCUGCGAUACUUUUUUUCUGCUUAUUUUGAUCACGUUCGGCGCUCGAUCGCGCUGUAUGAGACAGGAAAACAUAGCAUGCAGACAUUAGCGACAGGUCUUACAGGCGAAAAAGGGUUGCCAAAAGAAAAAAAAAAACACACCACAACAUCUCUCCUAUUGGUGGAAAACUUCACCACAACAACCAAUCCAAAAUUAUAUGGUGACUGAUUGACAAGGGGCGGGCGCUUACCUUCUUCCUGCAACAUGAGAAGGGAGGGAGGGACUCUCAGCAGGGAUGCAGUCUGGGACACGUAGUUGCAAACCUAGCGACUUUGUUGUUGGAUUCAAUGACUUUUCAGACCCCCCUUACGACUUUUUUUUUUUAGAAAGAAAGGGAAUUUUAUCAACUUCUUCUGGAGUUCAGAGACUCUGACAUGAAGCAGGCUUUCCUUACUGAGGAGUUGGCAACGCUGCUAAGGGUGCAGAGCCACACAUGCGCUCCGAGCUCUGCAUGGGAGACUGAAGCUGACAGAGCUGCAGCAGUUAGCAGGUUUCACCCUCAGAGACCACCAGGGGUUCAUGUUGAGGCAUUUUCAGUUUUUUUUUUUUUUUUUUUUUGCCAUGACACUGUCAGCACAAUCUGCAGUUACACUAACAAAAAUGCUGGACAAAACAAAGAAUUAUGGAAAAAAUACACAUGGACUAACAUAGAGGAGGAUCUACACAAGUUUUUUACAUCAUGUUUUACAUCAUGCAUCAUUUACAUCAUGUUUUUUUGUAGUGGCAUAAAUAAAAAGUGACAUUUGUGAGACUAUACAGUGUUUUGUAAAUAAUUUUACAAAGAACGCCUGGGCCAUUGCCUGCAUUUUGAUGUAAAUAGAGGUAAAUUACUAUGUUCUUUGUUAAAAAUUUGCAUAUGUUUUGAAGUUUACAAUUUUUAUUUGAAGUUUAAGUUUUAAAAACAGUUCAUCACACAUAUUUGUGGUUUUCACAGUAAAAAUGUUACUUUUUUCCACUCGGAUUUUAUGUUUUGUGUGUGAAUUUGGGUCCAUUGUGUAAAUACAGUAUGUCAAAAUGAUAAAAUAACUGUAAAUUAACACAGGUGAGGUUGUGCUGAAAAGAAUGAUACCAGGCAAGGCAAGGUAAAAAAAAUAUUAAGAGGAAAUAUAAAGGUAAAAUCUAAAGUAGUCAAAAACGGCCAAUAGUGACCCCCAGACUCCAUAGACAAGUCCCUUUGGCGCCACUCAGUGGGCAAAACUACUUUGUCUGCUGUAAUGUAUAUUUGGGUCAUCUUUGGCGCCCCCUAGAACGUAAACCGUGAGGUGCAGCGUCAUGAUUUUUACAACUUUUAAUGGCCAUGGGGUGUAGAUUGGCCUGAGCAAAUUUGGUGCCGGUGGAACGAAAGCCUUCGGAGGAGUUAGCGAAAUUCCAAUGUGUGCGGAUCGGCAAAAAAUGCGAAAUAGCUCUUUAACCGUACAUUAUACAGAUACGCGCUCUUUGACUUUUUCGUAGAUCUUAUUGAGAUACACGUGUGUGUCAAAUUUUGUGUCAAUAUGACAAAGCGUUCAGGCGUGACACUCAACAAUGUGUAUUUUCACCUUAGGGGACAAGAAAAAAUGGACUUUUUUCUCCUGCCAUGGGGGGGCGCUCUUUUGGGGAGUAAAAAUUCCUUCACAAAUGUGUUGAUGGCUGGACAUUGCAUCAUCCUUGAAAAAUUGGAGGCCAGUGAGGGCAAAAAUAAAAAGUUAUAAGACUUUUAAAUAUGUGGAUUUUAGGGUUAUCUUUGGCGCCCCCUAGAACCUAAACCGUGGGGUGCAGCGUCAUGAUUUGAAUAACUUUUAAUGGCCAUGGGGUGUAGAUUGGCCUGAGCAAAUGUGGUGCCGGUGGAACGAAAGCCUUCGGAGGAGUUAGCGAAAUUCCAAUGUGUGCGGAUCGGCAAAAAAUGCGAAAUAACCCUUUAACCGUACAUUUGACAGAUACGCACGCACUGACUUUUUUGUAGAUCUUAUUGAGAUACAUGUGUGUGUCAAUUUUUGUGUCAUUUUGACAAAGCGUACAGGCGUGACACUCUACAAUGUGUAUUUUCACCUUAGGGGACAAGAAAAAAUGGACUUUUUUCUCCUGCCAUGGGGGGGCGCUCUUUUGGGGAGUAAAAAUUCCUUCACAAAUGUGUUGAUGGCUGGACAUUGCAUCAUCCUUGAAAAAUUGGAGGCCAGUGAGGGCAAAAAUAAAAAGUUAUAAGACUUUUAAAUAUGUGGAUUUUAGGGUUAUCUUUGGCGCCCCCUAGAACCUAAACCUUGGGGUGCAGCGUCAUGAUUUGAAUAACUUUUAAUGGCCAUGGGGUGUAGAUUGGCCUGAGCAAAUGUGGUGCCGGUGGAACGAAAGCCUUCGGAGGAGUUAGCGAAAUUCCAAUGUGUGCGGAUCGGCAAAAAAUGCGAAAUAACCCUUUAACCGUACAUUUGACAGAUACGCCCGCACUGACUUUUUUGUAGAUCUUAUUGAGAUACAUGUGUGUGUCAAUUUUUGUGUCAUUUUGACAAAGCGUACAGGCGUGACAGUCAAUAGUGUGAAUUUUAACCUUAGGGGGCGCUAUGGAGCCAUUUUGCAUUUUCUUGUUUGGGCGACUUCGGAAUAUCAAAUUUUUUACCAGGCCCGGUCGUCCUGCCAAAUUUCAUGAGUUUUCGCCAGUGGGAAGUGGGCCAUUUUCCAGUUCAAAGGGGAGGAAAAAGAAACUAGGGCCCCGUUGGGGCACUGGCGGGCCCGAGCUGUGUCACGCCGCCCCCAACACGACCGCCUCUCCCUCCCGAUCGCGUCACACUCAAGGUUCAACGAUGGUGUGCGCACUUGUCUGUGGUCAUUUACCAUUAUAAUGAAUGGGAGGCGCAGUUUCUACCAAAACGCUUGCUGCAGACAAACUACAUGUCCUAUUUGAAAAAAGUCUGGACCAUGAGUGAGGGCACAAACACAGCUAGGAUAUAUCCAAAUGGCAAGUUCCUCCUCCUUUCGUUUUUUUCCGAGAGAGCGAUGUGUUUGAGCCAUUGAGCGAUGGGCAGGAAAAACUUGACUUUUUCUCCUGCCAUGGGGGGCGCUCUUUUGGGGAGAAAAAAUUCCUUCACAAAUGUGUUGAUGGCUAGACAUUGCAUCAUCCUAGAAAACUUUGAAGCCAAUGAGGACAAAAAUGAAAAGUUAUAAGACUUUUAAGAAUGUGGAUUUUUGGGUUAUCUUUGGCGACCCCUAGAACGUAAACCGUGGGGUGCAGCAUCAUGAUUUGUACAACUUUUAAUGGCCAUGGGGUGUAGAUUGGCCUGAGCAAAUUUGGUGCCGGUGGAACGAAAGCUUUAGGAGGAGUUAGCCACAUUCCAAUGUGUGCGAAUCAACCAAAAAUGCGAAACAGCCCUUUAACCGUACAUUUUGCAGACACGUGCGCAUUGUUUUUUUCGUAGAUCUUAUUGAGAUACACGUGAUUAUCAAAUUUUGUUUCAAUAUGACAAAGCGUACAGGCGUGACACUCAACAAUGUGUAUUUUCACCUUAUAGGACAAGAAAAAAUGGCCUUUUUUCUCCUGCCAUGGGGGGGCGCUCUUUUGGGGAGUAAAAAUUCCUUCACAAAUGUGUUGAUGGCUGGACAUUGCAUCAUCCUAGAAAACUUGGAGGCCAGUGAGGACAGAAAUAAAAAGUUAUAAGACUUGUAAGAAUGUGGAUUUUUGGGUUAUCUUUGGCGCCCCCUACAACGUAAACCGUGGGGUGCAGCGUCAUGAUUUGUACAACUUUGAAUGGCCAUGGGGUGUAGAUUGGCCUGAGCAAAUUUGGUGCCGGUGGAACGAAAGCCUUCGGAGGAGUUAGCGAAAUUCCAAUGUGUGCGGAUCGGCAAAAAAUGCGAAAUAGCCCUUUAAACGUACAUUUGACAGAUACGCCCGCACUGACUUUUUUGUAGAUCUUAUUGAGAUACACGUGUGUGUCAAAUUUUGUGUCAUUUUGACAAAGCGUACAGGCGUGACACUCAAUCAUGUGAAUUUUUCACCUUAGGGGGCGCUAUGGAGCCAUUUUGCAUUUGAUUGUUUGGGUGACUUCAGAAUAUCGAAUUUUUCACCAGGCCCGGUCGUCCUGCCAAAUUUCAUGAGUUUUCACCAGUGGGAAGUGGGCCAUUUUCCAGUUCAAAGGGGCAGAAAAAUAAUAAGAAGAAGACUAGGGCCCCGUUGGGGCACUGGCGGGCCCGAGCUGUGUCGCCUCCCCCCCCCCAACGUGCUGCCUUCCCGUCCCAUUUGUGUCCUCUGGCCAUCGCCCUCUCUGGUAACGCCCAUCACUGCAAAGACCCUUUUCCUUCAUCGGCGUUUGCUGUUCUUCCUGCCAGUGCGUGUUGCUUUCACUUACACUUGCCACAGCCAGCCUCGUGAGUGCCUAGCCUAUUGGAUAUCACUGUCACCUCCACAGGACAGUCAUUACCUUUCUAUUAAUACUUUGUGUUUUAAUUUCACAUUAAUUUCCAUAUUGUAUAAACGACUGGAAAAAACUUGAGCCCCUGCCCCUGUAUAAUCAUGUGCAUGUCUCUGUUCUAGCUCCAAGGUGAAUCUUCACUGCUCAUGUUCUCCUCAGAAGCACUCACCUCACUCCCCUCAGGUUACUGUACACAUGCACCAACUGCCUGCUUCAGGUUUGGAUGGAGCUUCAUGGUUGUCUUUUGGAGAAAUGACCAGUCAAGUUGUGUUUGAAAUUUGAUUUUUUUCAGGGGCAAAAGGAGCCUCUGCAUUCUUGUCAAAUAUGUAAAUAGCAUGUUUUUGCAGGUGCUAAAAACCAGACUCUGAGUGUGUGUGUGUGUGUGUGUGUGUGCGUGUGUGUGUGUCUGUGUGUGCGUUCAAGUCACAUGACAUAUUUAACCGGAUGUAGCUGCAAGACGGAGCCUCGUUGACUCUCCGUUUCAACUUAUCUCAAAAGUGAGGACCUCAACCUAUAUACCAGUUUUUAAAUUGUGUUGAUAGGCCAAAUAAAACCAGAGUUAUGAUAAAUUAUGUCCGCGAUACUUUUUUUCUGCUUAUUUUGAUCACGUUCGGCGCUCGAUCGCGCUGUAUGAGACAGGAAAACAUAGCAUGCAGACAUUAGCGACAGGUCUUACAGGCGGAAAAGGCUUGCCAAAAGAAAAAAAAACACACCACAACAUCUCUCCUAUUGGUGGAAAACUUCACCACAACAACCAAUCCAAAAUUAUAUGGUGACUGAUUGACAAGGGGCGGGCGCUUACGUUCUUCCUGCAACAUGAGAAGGGAGGGAGGGACUCUCAGCAGGGAUGCAGUCUGGGACACGUAGUUGCAAACCUAGCAACUUUGUUGUUAGAUUCAAUGACUUUUCAGACCCCCUAACGACUUUUUUUAGAAAGAAAGGGACUUUUAUCGACUUCUUCUGGAGUUUAGAGACUCUGACAUGAAGCAGGCUUUCCUUACUGAGGAGUUAGCAACGCUGCUAAGGGUGCAGAGCCACACAUGCGCUCAGAGCUCUGCAUGGGAGACUGAAGCUGACAGAGCUGCAGCAGUUAGCAGGUUUCACCCUCAGAGACCAGGGGUUCAUGUUGAGGCAUUUUAAUUUUUUUUUUUGUGCCAUAGACACUGUCAGCACAAUCUGCAGUUACACUAACAAAAAUGCUGCAAAAAACAAAGAAUUAUGGAAAAAUUACACAUGGACUGACAUAGAGGAGGAUCUACACAAGUUUUUUACAUCAUGUUUUACAUCAUGCAUCAUUUACAUCAUGUUUUUUUGUAGUGGCAUAAAUAAAAAGUGACAUUUGUGAGACUAUACAGUGUUUUGUAAAUAAUUUUACAAAGAACGCCUGGGCCAUUGCCUGCAUUUUGAUGUAAAUAGAGGUAAAUCACUAUGUUCUUUGUUAAAAAUUUGCAUAUGUUUUGAAGUUUACAAUUUUUAUUUGAAGUUUAAGUUUUAAAAACAGUUCAUCACACAUAUUUUUGGUUUUCACAGUAAAAAUGUUACUUUUUUCCACUCGGAUUUUAUGUUUUGUGUGUGAAUUUGGGUCCAUUGUGUAAAUUCAGUAUGUCAACAUGAUACAAUAACUGUAAAUUCGCACAGGUGAGGUUGUGCUGAAAAAAAUGAUACCAGGCAAGGCACGUGAUUGUCAAAUUUUGUGUCAAUAUGACAAAGCGUAUAGGCGUGAAUCUCAACAAUAUGUAUUUUCACCUUAGGGGACAAGAAAAAAUGGACUUUUUUCUCCUGCCAUGGGGGGGCGCUCUUUUGGGGAGUAAAAAUUCCUUCACAAAUGUGUUGAUGGCUGGACAUUGCAUCAUCCUAGAAAACUUGGAGGCCAGUGAGGACAAAAAUAAAAAGUUAUAAGACUUUGAAAUAUGUGGAUUUUAGGGUUAUCUUUGGCGCCCCCUAGAACCUAAACCGUGGGGUGCAGCGUCAUGAUUUGAAUAACUUUUAAUGGCCAUGGGGUGUAGAUUGGCCUGAGCAAAUGUGGUGCCGGUGGAACGAAAGCCUUAGGAGGAGUUAGCCACAUUCCAAUGUGUGCGGAUCGGCAAAAAAUGCGGAAUAACCCUUUAACCGUACAUUUGACAGAUACGCGCGCAUUGACUUUUUCGUAGAUCUUAUUGAGUUACAUGUGUGUGUCAAUUUUUGUGUCAUUUUCACAAAGCGUAUAGGCGUGACACUCAACAAUGUGUAUUUUCACCUUAGGGGACAAGAAAAAAUUGGACCUUUUUCUCCUGCCAUGGGGGGGCGCUCUUUUGGGGAGUAAAAAUUCCUUCACAAAUGUGUUGAUGGCUGGACAUUGCAUCAUCCUAGAAAACUUGGAGGCCAGUGAGGACAAAAAUAAAAAGUUAUAAGACUUUUAAAUAUGUGGAUUUUAGUGUUAUCUUUGGCGCCCCCUAGAACCUAAACCUUGGGGUGCAGCGUCAUGAUUUUGAUAACUUUUAAUGGCCACGGGGUGUAGAUUGGCCUGAGCAAAUGUGGUGCCGGUGGAACGAAAGCCUUCGGAGGAGUUAGCGAAAUUCCAAUGUGUGCGGAUCGGCAAAAAAUGCGAAAUAACCCUUUAACCGUAAUUUUGACAGAUACGGCCGCACUGACUUUUUUGUAGAUCUUAUUGAGAUACAUAUGUGUGUCAAUUUUUGUGUCAAUAUGACAAAGCGUACAGGCGUGACAGUCAAUAGUGUGAAUUUCCACCUUAGGGGGCGCUAUGGAGCCAUUUUGCAUUUUCUUGUUUGGGCGACUUCAGAAUAUCGAAUUUUUCACCAGGCCCGGUCGUCCUGCCAAAUUUCAUGAGUUUUCGCCAGUGGGAAGUGGGCCAUUUUCCAGUUCAAAGGGGAGGAAAAAGAAGAAACUAGGGCCCCGGUGGGGCACUGUCGGGCCCGAGCCGCGUCGCGCCGCCCCCAGUGCGACCGCCUCCCCGUCCCGAUCGAGUCACACUCAAGAACCAAAGAUGGUGUGCGCACUUGUCUGUGGUCAUUUCCCAUUAUAAUGAAUGGGAGGCGCAGUUUCUACCAAAACACUCGCUGCAGACAAACUUCAUGUCCUAUUUGAAAAAAGUCUGGACCAUGAGUGAGGGCACAAACACAGCUAUGAUAUAUCGAAAUGCCAGGUUGCUCCUCCUUACGGUGUUGCCUGGAGAGCGAUGCGAUUGAGCCAUUGAGCGAUGGGCAGGAAAAACUUGACUUUUUCUCCUGCCAUAGGGGGGGGAUGUGUGAUUCUUUUAAGAAUGUGGAUUUUUGGGUCAUCUUUGGCGCCCCCUAGAACGUAAACCGUGGGGUGCAGCGUCAUGAUUUUUACAACUUUGAAUGGCCAUGGGGUGUAGAUUGGCCUGAGCAAAUUUGGUGUCAGUGGGACGAAAGCCUUAGGAGGAGUUAGCCACAUUCCAAUGUGUGCAAAUCGGCAAAAAAUGCAAAAUAGCCCUUUAACCGUACAUUUGACAGAUAUGCGCGAAUUGACUUUUUUGUAGAUCUUAUUGAGAUACAUAUGUGUGUCAAUUUUUGUGUCAAUAUGAUAAAGCGUACAGGCGUGACAGUCAAUAGUGUGAAUUUCCACCUUAGGGGACAAGAAAAAAUUGACUUUUUUCUCCUGCCAUGGGGGGCGCUCUUUUGGGGAGUAAAAAUUCCUUCACAAAUGUGUUGAUGGCUGGACAUUGCAUCAUCCUAGAAAACUUGGAGGCCAGUGAGGACAAAAAUAAAAAGUUAUAAGACUUUUAAAUAUGUGGAUUUUAGGGUUAUCUUUGGCGCCCCCUAGAACCUAAACCGUGGGAUGCAGCGUCAUGAUUUGAAUAACUUUUAAUGGCCAUGGGGUGUAGAUUGGCCUGAGCAAAUGUGGUGCCGGUGGAACGAAAGCCUUCGGAGGAGUUAGCGAAAUUCCAAUGUGUGCGGAUCGGCAAAAAAUGCGGAAUAACCCUUUAACCGUACAUUUGACAGAUACGCGCGCAUUGACUUUUUCGUAGAUCUUAUUGAGAUACAUGUGUGUGUCAAUUUUUGUGUCAUUUUGCCAAAGCGUACAGGUGUUACACUCAACAAUGUGUAUUUUCACCUUAGGGGACAAGAAAAAAUUGACUUUUUUCUCCUGCCAUGGGGGGGCGCUCUUUUGGGGAGUAAAAAUUCCUUCACAAAUGUGUUGAUGGCUGGACAUUGCAUCAUCCUAGAAAACUUGGAGGCCAGUGAGGGCAAAAAUAAAAAGUUAUAAGACUUUUAAAUAUGUGGAUCUUAGGGUUAUCUUUGGCGCCCCCUAGAACCUAAACCGUGGGGUGCAGCGUCAUGAUUUGAAUAACUUUUAAUGGCCAUGGGGUGUAGAUUGGCCUGAGCAAAUGUGGUGCCGGUGGAACGAAAGCCUUCGGAGGAGUUAGCGAAAUUCCAAUGUGUGCGGAUCGGCAAAAAAUGCGAAAUAACCCUUUAACCGUACAUUUGACAGAUACGCCCGCACUGACUUUUUUGUAGAUCUUACUGAGAUACAUGUGUGUGUCAAUUUUUGUGUCAUUUUGACAAAGCGUACAGGCGUGACAGUCAAUAGUGUGAAUUUUCACCUUAGGGGGCGCUAUGGAGCCAUUUUGCAUUUUCUUGUUUGGGCGACUUCGGAAUAUCAAAUUUUUCACCAGGCCCGGUCGUCC
rnacentral:lncRNA from 1 species